CCAGACAAACGAUGGGAAGCAAAGUAGGAAGCAAACAAGAAUGAAAAGAAAUUACAUAGUUAGGAGGAUGAGAGACAAUGGAUAAAAGAACAAUAGGAAAGGAGAUUCUGCAAGGUAAUGUGUUGUGAUAUAUA